rnacentral:snRNA from 1 species
GGAUGUGAGGGCGAUCUGGCUGCGACAUCUGUCACCCCAUUGAUCGCCAGGGUUGAUUCGGCUGAUCUGGCUGGCUAGGCGGGUGUCCCCUUCCUCCCUCACCGCUCCAUGUGCGUCCCUCCCGAAGCUGCGCGCUCGGUCGAAGAGGACGGCCUUCCCCGAAUAGAGACGGACUGGUCUUCGGUCGAGGGUAUACGAGUAGCUGCGCUCCCCUGCUAGAACCUCCAAACAAGCUCUCAAGAAGGGAAGGAGAAGGAAGAAGAGAAGAAGAAGGAAGGAAAAA